GCGGCAAACGGGUGCGUAACACGUAAGCAAUCUGCCCUAAAGUUUGGAAUAGCCCAUGGAAACGUGGAUUAAUACCAAAUGUGGUCCUUCUUCGCAUGUUGAAGGCACUAAAGCUUGUAAUGGCGCUUUAGGAGGAGCUUGCGGCCUAUCAGCUUGUUGGCGAGGUAACGGCUCACCAAGGCUAAGACGGGUAGCUGGUCUGAGAGGAUGAUCAGCCACACUGGAACUGAGAUACGGUCCAGACACCUACGGGUGGCAGCAGUCUCGAAUCAUCCACAAUGGGCGAAAGCCUGAUGGUGCAACGCCGCGUGGGGGAUGAAGGCCUUCGGGUCGUAAACCCCUGUCAUCAAGGAACAAAAAACUGUUGGAACAGUCUUGAGCUAACUUGAAGAGGAAGAGGUGGCUAACUCCGUGCCAGCAGCCGCGGUAAUACGGAGACCUCGAGCGUUACUCGGAUUCACUGGGCGUAAAGGGUGCGCAGGCGGUCGUGUGUGUCAUGUGUGAAAUCCCGGGGCUUAACUCCGGAACUGCGCAUGAAACUGCACGACUAGAGACUCGGAGGGGUAAGCGGAAUUCUAAGUGUAGCGGUGAAAUGCGUAGAUAUUUAGAGGAACACCAAUGGCGAAGGCAGCUUACUGGACGAGAUCUGACGCUCAGGCACGAAAGCGUGGGUAGCGAAAGGGAUUAGAUACCCCUGUAGUCCACGCCCUAAACUUUGUACACUAGCUUUCGGCGGAUUCGACCCCGUCGGAGGUCAAGCUAACGUGAUAAGUGUACCGCCUGAGGACUACGGCCGCAAGGCUAAAACUCAAAGGAAUUGACGGGGGCUCGCACAAGCGGUGGAGCAUGUGGCUUAAUUCGAUGCAACGCGAAGAACCUUACCUGGGUUUGACAUGUAGUGGAAGAUUGAGUGAAAGCUUGGUCGUCCUUCGGGACUGCUACACAGGUGCUGCAUGGCUGUCGUCAGCUCGUGUCGUGAGAUGUUCGGUUAAGUCCGGCAACGAGCGCAACCCUCGCCCUUAUUUACCAGCGGGUCAUGCCGGGGACUAUAAGGGGACAAACCUCUUUUGAGGUGGGAAGGUGGGGAUGAUGUCAAGUCAGUAUGGCCCUUACACCCAGGGCUGCACACGUGCUACAAUGCCCAGUCCAAUGAGAUGCAAUACCGCGAGGUGGAGCUAAUCUACAAAGCUGGGCCCAGUUCGGAUUGGAGUCUGCAACUCGACUCCAUGAAGCCGGAAUCGCUAGUAAAGGCGCAUCAGCAUGGCGCCUUGAAUACGUUCCCGAGCCUUGUACACACCGCCCGUCAAGUCAUGAAAGCCGGUUUUACCCAAAGUAUGUGAGCCAACCGCAAGGAGGCAGCGUCCUAAGGUGAGGCUGGUGAUUGGGACUAAGUCGUAACAAGGUA
rnacentral:rRNA from 1 species